UGUAAGCCUGUUUAGUGAUGAAUG
rnacentral:piRNA from 1 species